CAUGAAUUCCUCUGAAUAAGUAUUCAGAAACCUGGUCAAUUAACAACUAGUGUAGACUUUUCUUAACAAAAACCCUCUGAGGUUUUUCCUGAGUUCAAUUAACUUAAAACCUUGAGCAACAUUUGAUCUCCAGGUUGUGAUGCGUGUCACUCAAAAGGCUGGUCAUCUGUUUGCCUAUCUCCCCUAGGCAAACCUAGAAAAUGCAUCUCCUGACCUUCGAAGAGAGCUCUGGUUAUUCAGGAAAGUGGAUUGCCUUGUCCCCUGGAGCAUAAAACUGAUCACAGGGUCCACAGGCUGCAUUGUAUCCCAAUACUCCCAAGUUGUGAUUGGUAGGAGGGAUGUCUAUCUUUGGGUGAGACUUUGGGUAUGUGCAUAUGUGCAUGUACAAGACAGUCACUUCACCAUUUAUUUCUCCAGGAAUACGGUACUCUUGGGGAAUGGAGGCUACUAAAUAGGAACUCUUCGAGAACAGGAAUUUUUAGCAUUCUGAUGGUUGGAUAG
rnacentral:lncRNA from 1 species